rnacentral:lncRNA from 1 species
AAAUUUAUUGUAAAUUUAGAUUUUUUAUCCAAUUUCACGGUCCAUUGGACAUGAAAAUUGAUAGUGCGAGUGGGGCAUCUGUGUACUUCGGACACAUUCUUGUUUUAUGUUUCUGUUUUUAUAUUUUUAUGUAGGUUGCAAAAUUGCAGCCACAUGAUUUUUAAAAUUUUUAAGAAAUAACGAAGUCAGUGUGGGACCACUAAGCUUAACUGCCUGGUUUGCACCAGCCUGUAUAAGUGAAUGCCUAGGAUGGGAAUCGACUAACGUACACCAAAUCUGCUGUCUAUUUUUAAAAUGAACAAAUAUAUGCAUCCUAAACAAAUUUGUUAAGAUUAAAAUAUAUAUAUAGAGAAUAUCAUAUGUUUUUUUCAAUAUCGCAUCCGUAUCAACCUGAG